GUCAAUAAGAGACACAGUCAGUCUGUGUUUGGGAAGCGGCAAAGAGGGAGGGCAGUGAAAGAAUCCCUGUUUUUCUUCUUAAAGUGAAGGGACAUAAACACCUCAUAGGAAUGGUAGCAGCUGUCUGGACAUCAAAGUGAAAAAACCCGAAGCUGAGUGCUCAGGACCCAGAAGGAGCCUGGUUGUAUAGCCUCAGCUCCCGGAUCAGUGCUCUCCACCCCAGAGCUGCUGCUGGGCCAGCCUCCACUGAGCCAGCCUCUGCUGAGGAAGUCCCAGGUUAUGACCAAGUGUGCUCCUCUCUCCUCUCCCCAUCCACACCUGGUCCCAGAAGACAGUGAAACCUAAAAUAUUCACUUGUAAAACAAGUUUCAAGGUCAAAUCAAUGAACCAUUUUAAGUAAAAAGGC